UACAGAGGUCCCAAGCGUUGUUCGGAUUCACUGGGCGUAAAGGGUGCGUAGGUGGUGAGGUAAGUCGGAUGUGAAAUCUCCAGGCUCAACCUGGAAAUGGCAUCGGAAACUACCUUGCUCGAGGUUUGGAGGGGGGACUGGAAUUCUUGGUGUAGCAGUGAAAUGCGUAGAUAUCAAGAGGAACACCAGUGGCGAAGGCGAGUCCCUGGACAAAACCUGACACUGAGGCACGAAAGCUAGGGGAGCAAACAGG
rnacentral:rRNA from 1 species